rnacentral:rRNA from 1 species
AUUGAACGCUGGCGGCAUGCCUUACACAUGCAAGUCGAACGGCAGCACGGGAGCAAUCCUGGUGGCGAGUGGCGAACGGGUGAGUAAUAUAUCGGAACGUGCCCAGUCGUGGGGGAUAACGUAGCGAAAGCUACGCUAAUACCGCAUACGAUCUAUGGAUGAAAGCGGGGGAUCGCAAGACCUCGCGCGAUUGGAGCGGCCGAUAUCAGAUUAGGUAGUUGGUGAGGUAAAGGCUCGCCAAGCCGACGAUCUGUAGCUGGUCUGAGAGGACGACCAGCCACACUGGGACUGAGACACGGCCCAGACUCCACGGAGGCAGCAGUGGGAAUUUUGGACAAUGGNGCAAGCCUGAUCCAGCAAUGCCGCGUGCAGGAUGAAGGCCUUCGGUUG